UGCUCGCUUCGGCAGCACCAGACCAAAGCCGGAACAUACAGAGAAGAUGAGCACGGCCCCUGCACGAGUGACACGCAAAUUCAUGAAGCAUUCCAUAUUUUA